rnacentral:rRNA from 1 species
GAGAGGAUGAUCAGCCACACUGGCACUGAGACACGGCCCAGACUCCUACGGGAGGCAGCAGUGGGGAAUAUUGGACAAUGGGGGCAACCCUGAUCCAGCCAUGCCGCGUGCGUGAAGAAGGCCUUAGGGUUGUAAAGCGCUUUCACUGGUGAAGAUGAUGACGGUAGCCAGAGAAGAAGCCCCGGCUAACUCCGUGCCAGCAGCCGCGGUAAUACGAAGGGGGCUAGCGUUGUUCGGAAUCACUGGGCGUAAAGCGCACGUAGGCGGAUUGGUCAGUUAGGGGUGAAAUCCCAGAGCUCAACUCUGGAACUGCCUUUAAUACUGCCAGUCUUGAGUCCGAGAGAGGUGAGUGGAACUCCGAGUGUAGAGGUGAAAUUCGUAGAUAUUGGAAAGA